UGGAUAAGGCGUCUGAUUCCGGAUCAGAA
rnacentral:piRNA from 1 species